rnacentral:lncRNA from 1 species
UUCGCACGUCGGCCCGGCGGGCGGGCGGGCUCGCGGUCCUCGGCCCCCGUCCGCGGCCCUCUGCGCGCCGCGCCCUCUGGGCCACGGGGGUUGGGCCGGUCCCCGGGUGACGUGUGCCCGAGUCCUCGUGGUCCCGCUUGAGCCCCGCUGGGGCCGGAUUUCAUGUUCUUAAGGUGUUCCGAGGCUCCUCUGUGCCGCCCGGGCCAGCGUGGCUUACUCUCCCAACCACGGCCACGCAGGGCUGGGAAUUGAGUUGUGGAAUUUCUGUCGCCUUCUCUCCGCCGCUCAGCUCGCCCUGGGCUUGGGUUUAAGUAAAAGCGGCGGCAGAGAGGGCGUUUGGGAAUUAGGCACGUCUCCGGAUCUUGCAGGAACGGGCUAAACUUUACCGUCCGGCCACUAGCCCCAAUUUUUGAGACAAGGUCUCACGGUGUAGCUCUGGUUGGCCUCCAGUUCACAAAGAGCCUCCGGCCUCUGUCUCUGGAGUACUGGGAUUAAAGGUCUGUGUCACUGUCUGCAAUUUUGUUUUUUUUUUGUUGUUGUUGUUGUUGUUGUUUUUUGUUUUUUUUAAAGAUCACAUUUAUUUGCUUAUUUGUGUGCGCGCACUCCUGUGUACGUGUGCGGAGAGGUUAGAGGCCGGGGUAAAUUCUCUCUUCCCACCACGUGGGCCUGGAGAGUUAGACUCUCUGGGGUGUUGACUGCCGCCGAUUCUUAGACCGACUCAAGAAUCCUGGCGACCACUGAUGGAAUUUUUCCGAGUCUGGAAUCUGUUUACCAAGAUCUCUAAUUAAUUAAUUCGAUGUUUCGCGGGUACCUUUACCAGUUUGGGGAAUCCCGUUGGCCCUUGAUGCCUUUUAGUCUGAAGUGGGCUUACCAAAAACUAAUCAGGUGUUGUUUCUUCCAUAGGAUGAAAAUGAGUGGAAAGAAUUUGAGCAAAGAGAGGUUGAUUACAGCGGAUUAAGAGUUCAGGCAAUGCAAAUAAGGUAGGAUGUGAUUACACGUGGGAUUAGGUAACCUUGUUAAGUAGUGCACGCGUUUACUUUUUUUUUUUUUUAAAUGCCCUCUGUGUCAUUAAAUUAGUUGCCAACUCUAAAAUCCUGUGGUUUCCCUAUUUGCAGCUAUGUGGAUUUUUGGCUUGACUAAAAUGGAUUUUUGUCAUUUAAAAAUUUUUAACACUUCGUGUUUGAAUUUAGGUGGUCUUCCCUACCCCUAGUAGGGCUCCUGUAGUUCACUCGCUGCCCUGAGAACUUACUGUGUGACUCAGGAGAAGAAGGGGCUUGUUUUUUUUUUUUUUUUCCAAAAAAAAAUAUUUGAAGCGAGUUGCCUGUGUAAUACAUGUCUGUACUGUCUUCUGGAAUUGGAAUUACAGCUGUUAGUGUGGGUUCUGUGAGCUGGACCCUGAUCUGUGGAAGACCGCUGAGCGACAUGUCACCUUGAACUCUUAAUUCUAAAGUGUCCACCCAAAUGUACCACCAAGCUGUGCAGGAACUUAGUUUUUUCUUUUACUUACUUAGUAAAAUUGUUUUCUAGUUCUCUCUGGUAAUUGCAGUGUAGGAUACUUCCAACAUACACGAAUUUGCAUUGACCAUGAAGCCACCUUGAAUACCCACUACCCCAGUCAAAAAAUUGAACGUUAAUAGAGGCUCUUCUGAACCUAUCCCCAAAAGUAGCUUACCCUAGCCCUCGUUUGCACAGUUCUUAGCUGUGUAUUCCGGACUGAACUUGAGCUGCUGGAAUUGCAGGCCUGUGCUACCUGCCAUUUCGGGCUCUGAGGUGACUGGUUUUCAAAGUUCAGGAAAACAGUCAUUUUCACAGUUGGAUUGGUUGAUUUAAGAGAACCUACAUUGUCACGUUCAAUCUGUGGUAGUUCAUUUUAGAUCUGGUUUUAAAAGUAACAUGUUUGGAAAGAUUUUUUUUUUAAGUAGAAAGGGUAAGUAUUUAAGGUAAGGUUUUUGAAGUUCAAAAGUGAGUAGGGCUCUAUUGCCUUAAAAUCCUUUACUCAUCUUACACAAGCAAAAUGAUUGGAAAUUGUCUUUGGUUUGAAGCUUGCAAUUUGUAGAGAAUUCCAGUGACCAUAUGGGACAGUUGUUGAGGAAAUAACUUUCUUAACUCUAAAUUAAUCUUUUAAAAUCUAGAUUAUAUAUGAUCUGAGGUAACUUAUUGAAAAGCCAGGUAGUAUAUUUUAAUGUAUGGUUAGUGUCUGUACCACCCAGGCAUUCAUAUCCCUAGGUGUUCUCACUUGUGAAUUUACCAAAUUAAACAUUGUUUUUUAUAGUAGGGAACUUAGAAGUUAUCUCCCUUUUUGGUGUGGCUUUAGUGUUUUGUUUUGCUUUGUUUUUCCUUUUUUAAAGAUUUAAUUACAUAUGUAUGUCUGGGAUGUAUAUGUACAUGUAUGUGCAUGCAGGUGCCUGUCGAGGCCAGAAGAGAGCGCAUCAGUUCCCUUGAAACUGGAGUUACAGGUAGUUGGGAGCUGUGUUCUAGGGACUGAAUUUGUAUCCUCUACAAGAGCAGUAUAUAAGCUUAUGAGUAAUUUUAGAAAAUACUUGGUGGUGAAAGCCUUAACUGUCAGCUGUUGAGAAGCUGAGGUGGGGAGAAUAAGAAAAAUCAGGUGCGCUUGGGUUAGAGUGAGUUUAAGGUUACUCUGAGCAAUUUAGUGAGACCCUAUCUCAAAACUU